UACGAAGGGGGCUAGCGUUGCUCGGAAUCACUGGGCGUAAAGCGCACGUAGGCGGAUCUUUAAGUCAGGGGUGAAAUCCCAAGGCUCAACCUUGGAACUGCCUUUGAUACUGGGGAUCUCGAGUCCGGAAGAGGUUGGUGGAACUGCGAGUGUAGAGGUGAAAUUCGUAGAUAUUCGCAAGAACACCAGUGGCGAAGGCGGCCAACUGGUCCGGUACUGACGCUGAGGUGCGAAAGCGUGGGGGAGCAAACAGG
rnacentral:rRNA from 1 species